AGCCUUUGCAAAGAAAAUUUAUUCGUUGUAGGCUGCAAGAAAGGCAGGGGGUUCACAGCAUAGGAAGAGACCUCUCCCAGAGCUGGCCCUAGUACUCCCUCAGAACCUGUGGGGCUUGGAAGGGUCCUGGUGAUUCAAGCUACCUGAGUGCCAUCUCUGCCCUCCUACUUACGCUUCUCCAGCCUCAGCCUUCCCAGAGCCCCACACCAGGCCAGCCUCUGGGAAGUACUGGAGCAGGCCUCGGAGCAAUCCUCAUUUUCCUGCCAAGGACCCCAAGGAACAGCCAAUCCUGCAGGAAUGCAGAUGACCAGCAGCCAUGGGCUCCUAUCUGUAUGAGGCUCUGUAACCCUGUAAACCCCUCCUCUCACCCCACUGCCCAGUUCAGGUUUGGGCAAAACCCAGGGGAUGGCAUUAGGUGGAAUUGCAGGAGAAGCCCAGCUAAAAGACUAUUUGAGGUGACCCUGCAGGGGAAGGGUUAAUGUCUCUAUAUGUGGGUGCCGGCAAGGGGAGUCUGCAGCUUUAGGGACCUCCUAUAAGUGGCCAAACAGGAUCUCUUUGGGGUCAGAGUACAGACUUUAAAGUCAAAGAGACUUGGUUUUGAUCUCAGUUCUGGCACUUACAAGCUGUGUGACUUAGGACAUGUAACUUAACUUUUCUGGGCCUCGGUGUCCUCAUCUGUAAAAUGGGUGUACCAACGACACCCACACCCCAUAAAAUGAUGAGGAGUCACUGCACUAAGGCAUGUGACCUGGGACCUGACAGCCUUCUGCACUUGGUCACUCUUAUUGCUUUUUUCCUUCCCAGUCCACUGGCCCCACAGCCAAUUUGAAGUGAUUGUAGCUGUGCCCAGGCCUCAGGGACCAGGUUUCCCAGGCCCCUCUGGACAGCCCCAUUACGCCUCUUUCCCUGCCCCCUGCCCCUGCUCCCUCCCAGGCUACUGAGGCCCUACUGAGAGCUCUCAGGCUGCUGCAGCCCCCGACCUAAGGCAGGUGUAGCCUGACCCUGCCCCCAGGGAGGGUGGUGUGCGGCAUUACCUCUCAGAGACACCUUCCAGGCCAUUUACUCUUUCAGGGAUGAAGUAGGGGUGGCAAGUGCACUCCUGGGCACCCGCACUCUUCUGCUCUGUGAUGUCUUUCUCUCCAGACACAUGCUGCUUAUGCAAAUAGGCCUACCCAGAAUGUUCCAUGCA
rnacentral:lncRNA from 10 species